CAAUGAUCCAGAUCCUCCUGCACACGAAGGAUUCAGCACAAGCUGGGCAAGCAGAGAGAUAACUUUUGCCUAAUUUGUGCUGAGCUAAGGAGCAGGAACAGGGGACUGCAGUUUGCCAUUACAAGAGGUAAUUUCUGCUCCCUGAAGCAGGACACAGACCUGGUCUCUGCGACCAUGCCGACAGGUUCUGGUGGUUUGGGCUCUGAAAAGAGCUUUUCCAGGAGUGCCUCUCAGGAUGAGUGUGCUGCAUGGAGCAAAGGGGAGGCUGGAGCCCCAGUGCUGCUGCUUUCAGUCCUGCAAAGGGGAGGCAGCUUUUGCUUCCUCCAGCUUCCCCCGGCUUCCCAGGGUGCUCUCUGACCAGCUCAUUUUAGCACAGCCAGCUGUCUCAUCUGGCAAGCACAGCCCGAAUUCAGCUCCUGCUUUCUGUGUGCUGACACGAGGUCUCGGUUCCCUGGAAGUGGAUUGGUUUCUGAGGAUCUGUGAAGAAAUUUUGCAUUUUGUCUGAAGGUUCAGAGCUUGUCCUACUGAUUUUGCUCAGUGUUUCAGAAAUCCUUCAUAAUUUCUGCAAGCAAAACUUUUCAACAGCUUUUGAAGCUUUCCCUGAUUUUCAGAGCUGAUCGGGAGGGAAGCUGACCCUGCAGGUAUUAACUGGCAAUUUGGAAUAAAAUGCCUUAUUUAAAGAAAUUACUCCA
rnacentral:lncRNA from 1 species